AUUCUCUAAGUGGACCAAUUCCUGAUUGGAUACUGAGCAUAAAAAGGCAUAUGUAAGCAUAUCUCUUUAGUUAGCACUCAUUGAAUUAUGAAAUUUAUUCUCACUUUAUGUUCUCUUUCAGUGAUUUAUCUUUGAACAAUUUCACAAAGACUUCUGCAAAUAAUUGCCAAAUGCCGGAUGUGAACUUAGCUUCAAGCCUCUCUCGCACAGCAAACACUUCAAUAUCUUGUUUGAAGAUGGGCCAACCUUGUUCAGGAAAACCC